AGCGAACGCUGGCGGCAGGCCUAACACAUGCAAGUCGAACGAACUCUUCGGAGUUAGUGGCGGACGGGUGAGUAACACGUGGGAACGUGCCUUUUGGUUCGGAAUAACUCAGGGAAACUUGUGCUAAUACCGAAUGUGCCCUUCGGGGGAAAGAUUUAUCGCCAUUAGAGCGGCCCGCGUCUGAUUAGCUAGUUGGUGAGGUAACGGCUCACCAAGGCGACGAUCAGUAGCUGGUCUGAGAGGAUGACCAUCCACACUGGGACUGAGACACGGCCCAGACUCCUACGGGAGGCAGCAGUGGGGAAUCUUGCGCAAUGGGCGAAAGCCUGACGCAGCCAUGCCGCGUGAAUGAUGAAGGUCUUAGGAUUGUAAAAUUCUUUCACCGGGGACGAUAAUGACGGUACCCGGAGAAGAAGCCCCGGCUAACUUCGUG
rnacentral:rRNA from 1 species